GUAGGGACCAAGCGUUAUCCGGAAUUAUUGGGCGUAAAGGGUGCGUAGGCGGCCAUGUAAGUCUAAGUUUAAAAGCCCACAGCUUAACUGUGGGAAGGUGCUUAGAAACUGUAUGGCUUGAAUUCAGAAGAGGCAAGUGGAAUUCUAUGUGGAGCGGUGGAAUGCGUAGAUAUAUGGAGGAACACCAGUGGCGAAGGCGGCUUGCUGGGCUGAUAUUGACGCUGAUGCACGAAAGCGUGGGGAGCAAACAGGAUUAGAUACCCUGGUAGUCCACGCCGUAAACGAUGAGUACUAAGUGUUGGAGAAAUUCAGUGCUGAACUUAACAGAUUAAGUACUCCGCCUGGGGAUUACGACCGCAAGGUUG
rnacentral:rRNA from 1 species